rnacentral:rRNA from 1 species
CCUACGGGCGGCAGCGGUGGGGAAUAUUGGACAAUGGGGGCAACCCUGAUCCAGCCAUGCCGCGUGUGUGAAGAAGGCCCUCGGGUUGUAAAGCACUUUCAGUGAGGAAGAACGCCUGGUGGUUAAUACCCAUCAGGAAAGACAUCACUCACAGAAGAAGCACCGGCUAACUCCGUGCCAGCAGCCGCGGUAAUACGGAGGGUGCGAGCGUUAAUCGGAAUUACUGGGCGUAAAGCGCGCGUAGGUGGCUUGAUAAGCCGGUUGUGAAAGCCCCGGGCUCAACCUGGGAACGGCAUCCGGAACUGUCAAGCUAGAGUGCAGGAGAGGAAGGUAGAAUUCCCGGUGUAGCGGUGAAAUGCGUAGAGAUCGGGAGGAAUACCAGUGGCGAAGGCGGCCUUCUGGACUGACACUGACACUGAGGUGCGAAAGCGUGGGUAGCAAACAGGAUUAGAUACCCCUGUAGUC